AUGGCGAGGCUCCUCCUCUUCGCCGCCGACCACACCGCCGGAGCACCCGGGGCGGCGACUCUCGUCCUUGUCAUCCUCGUCGUCCUGGUGGUGGCGGCGGUCGUGGUGUCUCUGUGCACCAGCAGCACGCACGAGAAGCUGUGGGGGCAGCAGCGCGGGCCCUCCUCGUCGGCGCCGCUGGCCAAGGCGGACAGCAGCGUCGGCGCCAGCAACCGGAAGCACCUGCUGUCGGCCACGCUCAGCGGGAUCGGCGGCAAGGCGGCCAGGAUGGUGUCGUGGAACAGGCGCUCUCCGUCCGGCAGCAGCGACGACGACGAGGAGGCGGUGGCCGCUCUGGGGCCGGACGACGACGAGGCCGUGUGGAGGAAGGCCAUCAUCAUGGGGGACAAGUGCCGGCCGCUCCAGUUCUCGGGGCACAUCGCCUUCGACUCCGACGGCAACCAGCUGCCCCAGCCGCCGGCGGCAGUCAAGAAAGCCUCCCCCGACGUCCCCGCCGAGAAUUAA
rnacentral:rRNA from 1 species